GACAAAGCCUUUGGUGUCCAUUCCUGCAGGACCAUGGCUGAUUCAAACUGUAAAUGUUAGAAGUGGUUCCCAAUGACAUGGAUCAAUUGAUUUUGAGAGCAAGGAAAGGAUGUGCUUCAAAUAGGAGAGAGUGAUCAACAGUGUCACAUGUGCUCAGUAUCAAGUGGAAUGAAAGAUAUGUCAUCCUACUGCCUUCUGGCCUCCAUGGCUUCUGAUGAGAAAUCAGCUGUCAAUCGGACUGAGGAUCCUUAAGUGACAUCUCACUGCUUUCAAGAUUCUGUAUCUUUGUCUUUUGAGUUUGAUUAGAAUGUGUCUCAGUGUGGGUCUCUUUGAGCUUAUCCUACUUUGAGUUUACUCAGCUUCUUGGAUUUAUAAAUUCAUAUCUUUCAGCAAAUUGUACACCAUGUCCAAGUGGGGUUUAUUCCAGGAAUGCAAACAUGGUUCAAUAUAAGAACACCAAUCAAUGUAAACAUCACAUUAAUAGAACAAUAUAUGUACACACACACACAAGUGUAUCUGUUAGAUACUUGUAUGCCAAUGUUCAUUGCAGCAUUAUUCACGAUAGUCAAAAGAUGGGAACAAUCUAAAUGUCCAUCAACGGAAGCAUGGAUAAACAAAAUGUGGUGUAUAUACACAAUGGAAUAUUAUUCAGCCAUAUAAAGGAAGAAAUUCUGACACAUGCUACAACAUGGAUGGGCCUUGAAAACAUUAUGCUCAGUGAAAUAAGUCAGACACAAAAGGACAAAUAUUGUAUGAUGCUACUUCUAUGAAAGAGCUACAAUAGGCAAAUUCAUAGAGGCAGAAAGGAGAUUAGUGGCUACCAGUGGCUAAGGGUAGGAGAAAAUGGGGAGUUAUUAUUUAAUAGUUACAGAGUUUCUGUUUUGGGUGAUGCAAAAGUUUUGGAAAUAGUGGUGAUGGUUGCACAACAUGAUGAAUAUAUUAAUACCACUGAAUCGUACACUUAAAAAUUAUUAAAUUGGCAAGUCUUAUGUUGUAUAUAUUUUACCACGAUUUUAAAAAUUAAUAAUGUAAUUCACCAAAACCCAUUGAAUUGUACAUUUUAAGUGGGUGAACUGUAUGGCAC
rnacentral:lncRNA from 1 species